rnacentral:lncRNA from 1 species
CUUUGAUUCUUCUUGUAUUUCAAAUUGAAGCCAUCUCGAACGCAAUUAAUCUUAGGGGAGUUGAAUUUCAUGCCAAUCUGAAACUUGAUAGAAGCUUCUUUAUAUCAGAAAUUUUAUUGAAUCUAGGAUAAUGGUACCCUGAAUUCGAUAACCAGAGUCAUUGUCACCCUCCACAUAUCAUCUCUCUCAAUUCCUAGUUGUCAUCAUAGUCUAUUUCCUUACCAUCAUUCCUUUAUCUCCAAGCACAUUUUGAUCUAUAUUAAGCCUCGAAUGUCCCAUCCAAUUUCUCAAUUCUUGAUCAACCAGGUCCUUAUCAACAUUCUCCAAGAAGAAGUCAUCAUCUGACUCAUCAGACUUCCUCAACUCACUAAGAGAAAUAGAGGUAUCAAUUGUAUUGUCCAUGUUGUCACUGCCAUC